rnacentral:rRNA from 1 species
AGGACGAACGCUGGCGGCGUGCUUAACACGUGCAAGUCGAGCGGUAAGGCCUUUCGGGGUACACGAGCGGCGAACGGGUGAGUAACACGUGGGUGAUCUGCCCUGCACUUCGGGAUAAGCCUGGGAAACUGGGUCUAAUACCGGAUAUGACCUCCUAUCGCAUGGUGGGUGGUGGAAAGAUUUAUCGGUGCAGGAUGGGCCCGCGGCCUAUCAGCUUGUUGGUGGGGUAAUGGCCUACCAAGGCGACGACGGGUA